CUGAUGGGUGAAGCUGCACAGGAUGGGAAAGACCCUGCUGGUGAUGUGGAUGCUGAGACGUGGCUCAUCUGGGUGGUCUGAGUGGGGUAGAGCCAGCUCUCCUCACCCAGUGACCAGGCAAAUGGACAAAGUUAAGGACAGAAGACACAUCAGCACCACCAGCAGCCCCCCCACUCCUGCCCUGCAGUGGGCAUUCCCUUUGACCUCUGGGACAAGGCACAUACUAGAUGAUCUGGUGAGCUGAGAAGCCUGGAGGGGGUGCGUAACAGGGGAAGGAAGGGACUAUGAAGCCAACUGGCACCGUGGCUAAUUA
rnacentral:lncRNA from 1 species